rnacentral:rRNA from 1 species
UACGUAGGGGCCGAGCGUUGUUCGGAAUUACUGGGCGUAAAGCGCACGUAGGCGGAUUUGUAAGUUAGGGGUGAAAUCCUGGGGCUCAACCUCAGAAUUGCCUCCGAUACUGGCAGUCUCGAGUGCGGGAGAGGUGAGUGGAAUUCCCAGUGUAGAGGUGAAAUUCGUAGAUAUUGGGAAGAACACCAGUGGCGAAGGCGGCUCACUGGCCCGUAACUGACGCUGAGGUGCGAAAGCGUGGGGAGCAAACAGG